AGGCAAUUGAACCUGCACGAUUGUAUGACUCAGUGGAUGUUAUUCUUACCUUCCAGAGCAAAAAUGGGGGUUUAGCCGCUUGGGAGCCUGUAGGGGCCUCACAGUAUUUAGAGUUGCUCAAUCCUACUGAACUUUUUGCGGACAUUAUCAUUGAGCAUGAGUA